AUAGAGAGGCUGCUUUGAUUUCAUGUAAGACAAAUUCGAAACUUGUCUGCAGAAGUAACCAGCUGUGGCCCUGUCUCAUUCCAGAAUUUUCCUCUCUUCCGUGAAGUGAAUACAGAGGCUUCCAGUUCGGGAUCCGGACACCUUGGCGUGUCGCUCCCAACAGUUCAACUGGAGCCCUUGAUGCCUGUGUCCUUGGCACCCACCAGACUGUGAGGUACAGUAUAAGCUCUGUGUGCCAAGCAGUUCACCCACACAGGACAGAAAUAGCCUGGGCUGACCAAACUGUGAGCCUGCUUCUAAUUACUGGAGAACUGGAAACGAAUGCAAUCUUCAUCUGCAUUCUCUCAGAUGGUGCUGCUUUAGUUACACUUAUCCUAGUGCUGAAUUUCUCUGGUACCAAAGGACAUUUAUGCUCCAUCACACGAAAUUACAAACACAACUUCAAGUGACCCCUCCACCUGGUCUCUCCAGGUAGGAAACAUUUUAGGCCUAUCGGUCACAUCAAAACUGUUGGACAAAAGCAGCAGAGACAUCUAAAUGAAUUCUUAACAGGCAUGAAGUUCUGAAGUCUAAAGAAUUCCAGGGUGACUUAGAACAUGUCCUACUCUGUGUUGGAUGCAGCCUGUGGCUUCAGUUCUCUCCUGCAGCUCUGUGCAUUGUAGCUGCUGUCUCCACGCUGCUCCUAUGGCAGCUCACGCCCGUCCUGGACGGGGGCAUCUGGCAAGUGAGUGUGGACAGCUACUGUUUGUCAGGAGGCUGCACACACCUUUGAUGAAGGAUCAUUACCUACCAAGAAGAUCCUCAUAAUUCCACUCUAUCACUUCCUGUGAGUCAUUAGAGCAGACAGCUUUCAAAGACAGGACCCGGCGUGCAGGUGGACAACAAGAUAAUUCGGGCAGGAAAUAGCUGCUUCCACUGGACCCUGUGUGCUGUUCUCUAAAGAUACAAGCAGACUGUCGCAUUAAUCUCUUCUGGAUUGAUACUGCCGCUACAGUGCUACAUUUAGAAACUCAAGAAGAAUGAAAUGGACUGAAACAGUUUUUUGUAACUCAAAGAAAUGGAAGCAGUGGUGGUCUAGAUAUUAAA